GAUGAACGCUAGCGGGAGGCUUAACACAUGCAAGUCGUGGGGCAGCAUUAGGUAGCAAUACUUAGAUGGCGACCGGCGCACGGGUGAGUAACGCGUAUGCAACCUACCCAGUACAGGGGGAUAGCCCGGAGAAAUUCGGAUUAAUACCCCAUAAUGAUAUCAGAAGGCAUCUUUUGAUAUUUAAAGCUUCGUCGGUACUGGAGGGGCAUGCGUAAGAUUAGCUAGUUGGUAGGGUAACGGGCUACCAAGGCUCCGACCUUUAGGGGUCCUGAGAGGGUGAUCCCCCACACUGGUACUGAGACACGGACCAGACUCCCACGGGAGGCAGCAGUGAGGAAUAUUGGUCAAUGGGCGCAAGCCUGAACCAGCCAUCCCGCGUGAAGGAAGAAUGCGCUAUGCGUUGUAAACUUCUUUUCCGGAGGAAUAAAAUCUUGUACGUGUAUAGGACUGAAGGUACUCCGGGAAUAAGCAUCGGCUAACUCCGUGCCAGCAGCCGCGGUAACAC
rnacentral:rRNA from 1 species